ACGCAGCGACGCCGCGUGUGGGAUGACGGCCUUCGGGUUGUAAACCACUGUCGGGAGGGACGAAUGCGCCGCAAGGCGAGUGACGGUACCUCCAAAGGAAGCACCGGCUAACUCCGUGCCAGCAGCCGCGGUAAUACGGAGGGUGCGAGCGUUGUCCGGAAUCACUGGGCGUAAAGGGCGCGUAGGCGGCCUGGUAAGUAGGAGGUGAAAUCCUGCGGCUUAACCGCAGGGCUGCCUUCUAAACUGUCCGGCUCGAGCACAGUAGAGGCAGGUGGAAUUCCCGGUGUAGCGGUGUAAUGCGUAGAGAUCGGGAAGAACAUCAGUGGCGAAGGCGGCCUGCUGGGCUGUUGCUGACGCUGAGGCGCGACAGCGUGGGGAGCAAACAGGAUUAGAUACCCUGGUAGUCCACGCCGUAAACGAUGGGCACUAGGCGUCGGGGGGAGCGACCCUCCCGGUGCCGUCGCUAACGCAGUAAGUGCCCCGCCUGGGGAGUACGGCCGCAAGGCUG
rnacentral:rRNA from 1 species